rnacentral:snRNA from 1 species
GUGCUUGCUUCAGCAGCACAUAUCUAAAAUUAGAAUACAGAGAUUAGCCUGACCCCUGUGCAAAGAUGACAUGCAAAUUUGUGAAACAUUCCCUACUUUU